rnacentral:rRNA from 1 species
GACGAACGCUGGCGGUGUGCUUAACACAUGCAAGUCGAACGGUAAGGCCCUUUCGGGGGUACACGAGUGGCGAACGGGUGAGUAACACGUGGGUGAUCUGCCCUCCUCUCUGGGAUAAGAGUCGGAAACGGUGGCUAAUACCGGAUAUGAGCUUGCAUGGCAGUGUGUGGGUUGGAAAGAUUUUUUUUUGUUGGGGAUUGACUCGCCGUCUGUCAGCUUGUUGGGUAGGGUGUGGCCCACCAAGGCUCGGGCGGGUAGCCGGCGCGGGAGGGCGACCCGCCACAUUGGGACUGAGAUACCGGCCAAACUCCCACCGGGGGGAACAGUGGGGAAGAUUUGAAAAAGGGCGGAAGGCCUGUUCAGCAACGCCGCGGGCGGGGUUGCGGCCUUCGGGGUGUAAACCUCUUUCCAUUAGGACGAAGCUUUUUUGUGACGGUAGCAGGAGAAGAAGCACCGGCUAACUACGUG